GACGAACGCUGGCGGCGUGCCUAAUACAUGCAAGUAGAACGCUGAAGGAGGAGCUUGCUUCUCCGGAUGAGUUGCGAACGGGUGAGUAACGCGUAGGUAACCUGCCUGGUAGCGGGGGAUAACUAUUGGAAACGAUAGCUAAUACCGCAUAACAGUAGAUGUUGCAUGACAUUUGCUUAAAAGGUGCAAUUGCAUCACUACCAGAUGGACCUGCGUUGUAUUAGCUAGUUGGUGAGGUAACGACUCACCAAGGCGACGAUACAUAGCCGACCUGAGAGGGUGAUCGGCCACACUGGGACUGGGACACGGCCCAGACUCCUAAGGGAGGCAGCAGUAGGGAAUCUUCGGAAAUGGACGGAAGUCUGACCGAGCAACGCCGCGUGAGUGAAGAAGGUUUUCGGAUCGUAAAGCUCUGUUGUAAGAGAAGAACGAGUGUGAGAGUGGAAAGUUCACACUGUGACGGUAUCUUACCAGAAAGGGACGGCUAACUACGUG
rnacentral:rRNA from 1 species